UACGUAGGGUGCAAGCGUUGUCCGGAAUUAUUGGGCGUAAAGAGCUCGUAGGCGGUUUGUCGCGUCUGCCGUGAAAGUCCGGGGCUCAACUCCGGAUCUGCGGUGGGUACGGGCAGACUAGAGUGAUGUAGGGGAGACUGGAAUUCCUGGUGUAGCGGUGAAAUGCGCAGAUAUCGGGAAGAACACCCGUGGCGAAGGCGGCUCUCUGGCCCGGUACUGACGCUGAGAUGCGAAAGCGUGGGGAGCAAACAGG
rnacentral:rRNA from 1 species